GAUGAACGCUAGCGGCAGGCCUAACACAUGCAAGUCGAGGGGUAGAAGUUGCUUGCAACUUUGAGACCGGCGCACGGGUGCGUAACGCGUAUGCAAUCUGCCUUGUACUGAGGGAUAGCCCAGAGAAAUUUGGAUUAAUACCUCAUAGUAUUACGAUGUGGCAUCACAAUGUAAUUAAAGUUCCAACGGUACAAGAUGAGCAUGCGUCCCAUUAGUUAGUUGGUAAGGUAACGGCUUACCAAGACGAUGAUGGGUAGGGGUCCUGAGAGGCAGGUCCCCCACACUGGUACUGAGACACGGACCAGACUCCUACGGGAGGCAGCAGUGAGUAAUAUUGGUCAAUGGGCGCAAGCCUGAACCAGCCAUGCCGCGUGCAGGAUGAAGCAUCUAUGGUGUGUAAACUGCUUUUGUACGGGAAGAAACACUCCUACGUGUAGGAGCUUGACGGUACCGUAAGAAUAAGGAUCGGCUAACUCCGUGCCAGCCGCCGCUGUAAUAC
rnacentral:rRNA from 1 species